rnacentral:rRNA from 1 species
AGAGUUUGAUCAUGGCUCAGAACGAACGCUGGCGGCGUGGAUAAGACAUGCAAGUCGAGCGGGAUUUCUUUUGGUAGCAAUACCGAGAGAAAUUCAGCGGCGAACGGGUGCGUAACACGUGGGCAAUCUGCCUUAAAGUGGGGGAUAGCUCGGCGAAAGCCGAAUUAAUACCGCAUGUGAUCAGGGGAGACAUCUUCCCGAAAUCAAAGGUGCCGCAAGGUACCGCUUUUUGUGGAGCCCGCGGCCUAUCAGCUAGUUGGUGAGGUACGGCCCACCAAGGCUUUGACGGGUAGCUGGUCUGAGAGGACGACCAGCCACACUGGGACUGAGACACGGCCCAGACACCUACGGGUGGCAGCAGUCGAGAAUUUUUCUCAAUGGGGGAAACCCUGAAGGAGCGACGCCGCGUGGAGGAUGAAGGUCUUCGGGUUGUAAACUCCUGUCAUUUGGGAACAAGUCGUACGUAGUUACUAUACGUGCGUUGAUAGUACCAGAAGAGGAAGAGACGGCUAACUCUGUGCCAGCAGCCGCGGUAAUACAGAGGUCUCAAGCGUUGUUCGGAUUCAUUGGGCGUAAAGGGUGUGUAGGUGGCGCCGUAAGUCGGGUGUGAAAUUUCGGAGCUUAACUCCGAAACUGCAUUCGAUACUGCGGUGCUUGAGGACUGGAGAGGAGACUGGAAUUUACGGUGUAGCAGUGAAAUGCGUAGAUAUCGUAAGGAAGACCAGUGGCGAAGGCGGGUCUCUGGACAGUUCCUGACACUGAGACACGAAGGCCAGGGGAGCAAACGGGAUUAGAUACCCUAGUAGUCC